AGAGUUUGAUCAUGGCUCAGAACGAACGCUGGCGGCGUGCCUAACACAUGCAAGUCCGACGUGAAAGGGGAGCAAUCCCCCGGUAGGGUGGCAAACGGGUGAGUAAGACAUGGGUGAUCUGCCCUGGGAGAUGGGGAUAUCCCUCCGAAAGGGGGGGCAAUACCGAAUAGUAUCCGGUUCCGUGAAGGGGGCCGGGGAAAGGGAGGCCUCUGGUACAAGCUUCCGCUCCUGGAUGAGCCCAUGGCCCAUCAGCUAGUUGGUAGGGUAAAGGCCUACCAAGGCGACGACGGGUAGCUGGUCUGAGAGGACAACCAGCCACACUGGCACUGAGACACGGGCCAGACUCCUACGGGAGGCAGCAGUGAGGAAUAUUGCGCAAUGGGGGCAACCCUGACGCAGCAACGCCGCGUGUGGGAAGAAGGCUUUCGGGUUGUAAACCACUUUUUGCCCGGGACGAAAGGGGGGGACCUGAAUAAGGUUGCCCGAUGACGGUACCGGGAGAAUAAGCCACGGCUAACUCUGUGCCAGCAGCCGCGGUAAGACAGAGGUGGCAAGCGUUGUUCGGAGUUACUGGGCGUAAAGAGUCUGUAGGUGGUCUGUCAAGUCUUUGGUGAAAGGCCGUGGCUUAACCAUGGGAAUGCCAAAGAGACUGGCAGACUGGAGGCUGGGAGAGGGAAGCGGAAUUUCUGGUGUAGCGGUGAAAUGCGUAGAGAUCAGAAAGAAGGCCGGUGGCGAAGGCGGCUUCCUGGAACAGACCUGACACUGAGAGACGAAAGCGUGGGGAGCAAACAGGAUUAGAUACCCUGGUAGUCCACGCCCUAAACGAUGGGAACUAAGUGUGGGGAGCAAUCCCCGUGCC
rnacentral:rRNA from 1 species